rnacentral:rRNA from 1 species
AGAGUUGAUUAUGGCUCAGGAUGAACGCUGGCGGCGUGCCUAACACAUGCAAGUCGAACGAAGCAUACGGACUGGAGAUUCGUCGAAGGACUGUAUGACUUAGUGGCGGACGGGUGAGUAAUGUAUGAGCAACCUGCCUUUCAGAGGGGGACAACAGUUGGAAACGACUGCUAAUACCGCGUAACGUAUCGUGGGGGCAUCCUCGUGAUACCAAAGGAGCAAUCCGCUGAAAGAUGGGCUCAUAUCUGAUUAGCUUGUUGGCGGGGUAACGGCCCACCAAGGCGACGAUCAGUAGCCGGACUGAGAGGUUGAACGGCCACAUUGGGACUGAGAUACGGCCCAGACUCCUACGGGAGGCAGCAGGUGGGGAAUAUUGGGUAAUGGGCGAAAGCCUCGACCCAGCAACGCCGCGUGAAGGAAGAAGGUCUUCGGAUUGUAAACUUCUUUAUGAGGGACGAAGGACGUGACGGUACCUCAUGAAUAAGCCACGGCUAACUACGUGCCAGCAGCGGC